GAUGAAGAACGUAGUGAAAUGCGAUAAGUAAUGUGAAUUGCAGAAUUCCGUGAAUCAUCGAAUCUUUGAACGCACAUUGCGCCCUCUGGUAUUCCGGGGGGCAUGCCUGUCCGAGCGUCAUUGCAAACCCUCAAGCCCGGCUUGUCUGAUGGGUCCCGCGUCCGCCUCUUAGGGGGCGGACGGGCCCGAAACGCAGUGGCGGCGUCGCGGUAAUCCGAUCAGCCAGAGCGUAUGGGGACAUCUCGUCACACGCUUUAGGCGCGGACCGGCGCCCGCCGAGACCAAAUCUCACAUCCAAGGUUUGACCUCGGAUCAGGUAGGGAUACCCGCUGAACUUAAGCAUAUCAAUAAGCGGAGGA
rnacentral:misc_RNA from 1 species